rnacentral:lncRNA from 10 species
UUGGAGCCAUAGAUGGAGAGCUGAGGGGUGAGGCAAGACUUCUUUCCAGGAGGGCAUCUGCCAUGGGGUGACGGCUGGGCUGGCACUGCUCUGAGCCCACCUGGCCAGGCAGGGAAGAGGCAACAGCUGCUUUAUGCUCCUAUGAGUGCCAGCUUUCCCGAAAGGAGACUGAAGUCCCUAGAUGAGAUUGGCAUCACCAGUCCUCAUUUGCCAAGUGGGAGAGCCGAAAUAGAGAACUUCUACCCAACGUCUCUCAGAGCCUCCUGUGGCAGAUGCUGUGAUGUCCAGGUGCUAUUUCCCAGGCACUUCCUCCUUCAGUCACCAUGACUGUUGGCUGCGUCCAUGUACCUCAUUCUUCUUCAUCAUGGGACAAAAACCCAGAACCCACCAAACAGCGGGAGCAAAAAAGGGCUGUAACACACUCCUGGCUGGCUCGCCGAGCUGCAGGCAGCGUGAAUGAAAAGAGCUGUGACACACUCCCAUUCAAUGGGCUACAGAAGUGAAGAGCUACAACCCUUCUGGGGGCCCAGACCUUGGGACUCCCAGAGCCUAGAGCUAUGACACACCCCUGUUCACUGAGCUGUGAGUGGUGGGAGAGAGAGAGAACUGUGACAUUCCCUGGUGGCUCAGACCUCAGGACUCCCUAAGCAGAAGCUGUGACACCCCUUUGGGGCUCUGUAGUUGCUGGCAUCUUCAAUUUUUUUCGGAUGCCACCACAUCUCCCUCAUCCAGAUGGCACCCAAGGUGGAAGCCGGUCACGGCAUGCCUAGACCAGCUACAGGCUGAGUGCAGAGCCAUGUUGGGCAUGGCAUCGAGGCUGGUAGCCUGAGCCGAGCACAGCCUGCUGGGCAGAGUGGGAAGAUUGAGCCCAGUGGGUCCAAGUGAACUCCAGACAGAGGUGCUGCCAGCCAUGGAGGUCUCUGGCUGGUGAAGUGGCACUGAAAGAAUCCUGUGUCAAUGUGAGCAAGUGUUCUAUGGUUACUCAAAGAAACUAGAACUAAUGGGGUCAGCCAAUUGGAAGUCCUGCAGCUGGCCACUGAGGAAAGAUAAGGAUCAGGGUCAGCCUCACUCCCAGGCAGAGCAGGCUGCUCCUGGCAACUGGCAGUUGGAGUGAAGAGAAGCAGACCACAUUGGAAAGAUGGCCUGGCCCAUUUUAUUUUUUAUCUUAUUGUAUUUUUUUUGAGACAGGGUCUUGCUCUGUCACCCAGGUUGGAAUGCAGUGGCAUGAUCAUGGCUCCCUGCAGCCUUGUUCUCCUGAGCUCAAGUGAUCCUCCUGCCUCAGCCUCCCGAGUAGCUGGGACUACAGGCUCAUGCCACCAAACUCCCGGCCUCAAGCAAUCCUCCCACCUCGGCCUCCCAAAGUGGUGAGAUUAUAGGUGUGAGCCACUGCACCCAGCCCCACCUGGUCCAUUUUAAAAGUCUGACCUUUAGGGCCUUAUUUUAAGGAGGGUUACUUUUUUGUUAGUUUUUUUGUUUAGGUUUAGAAGUGGCCAUUAUAAAAACAAAGCCUCAACACUUCCUAGGUUUGAGAGCAGAUAACCUUCCAAAGGGGCUAUCUUUAGAAUAGGUUGUCAGGUCAGGGAGGAAUCCCCACCUAAAUUUCAUCAUCCCUCUAGUGUUCUCUGGCUCCCAUAGCUGCCAUUCAUGACCUUAGUGGCUAGUCUUGGGGGCUUCUCCCUUUAAAACUCUGGCCCUAGCAUAGAUAAAUGAUCCCUUCCUUUUAACCAUGCAGGCUGCUGUGAAAGUCAUGAAUUUUCAAAAAGAAAUCUCUCUAAAAUUCUAGGAACAAACAAGGGAAAACGGAUACAACUCCCCACUCCCCCACCCUACCCCUUACACAAAUAUUAAGCAAGUCAUGUUUAUCAAGUAAAGGAUUCUGAUUCUAUUCUAGCUGAUUCUUCACUUGGCUCAUGGGCCUAUUUUUCAGGACUCUAAUGCCCGAAACAAUAUCUUUUCUAGAUUCCUAGGUUUUCCCCCACUUUCUUUCCUUUCCCUUCCCUUUCCAAGCAGAGAUCUCUUGUCACACAGACCUUCUAGGAACACACAUUGUAAUGACCCAUCCCUGGGAAACAUUGCAGCAUUCUACAGGUGCCCAUCAGCAUAGAAACACCUUAGGCUAGUGGUUCUCACACUUGAGCAUGCAUCAGAAUCACCUGGAAGGCUUGUUAAAACAGAGUUCUCAGCGCAUUUCCCUCCCAGAGUUUCUGAUUCGGCAGGUCUGGGGUGGGGCCUGAGAAUGUGCGUUUCUGACAAGUUGCCAGGUGAUGCUGACACUGCUGGGCCACACUUUGAGAAACACUGCUAUAGGCCCAGGUUGAUAACUAUUCAGGACAUAAAACACCUAGCUCUGCUCCUGUGCUCAUGGCAGAAAGAGCUAAUCAGUCAACUCCCACUUUUCUACUAAGCCUGGUAAUGACCUUGGAACUCUUAUCUCCUCCAUACUGUUCCAAAUAGUCAUUAAAUAGGGUUGAAUGUCAAGAUGCUGCUGCUGCUGCUGAUAAUCUCUAAUAUACUCAUUUUUUUUAAAGACCUUACCAUUUUCCUAGUUACUCAGGCCAAAAACCUUGGCAUCAUCCUUGAUUCAGCUCUUUCCCAUUUCCACUCCCAAUUUAUCAGCAAAUGCUGUCGGCUCUAACUUUAAAACAUAUCCCAAAUCUGACCACUUCUGACCAUGCCCACUAUUUCUGUCCUGGUUUAAGCCACCAGUAUCUCCUGCCUGGAUGCCUGGAAGAGCCUUCUAGUUGGUUUCCUCACUCCAUUCCUGCCCCUACCUAUGAUCUAUCUCCCACACAGCAGCCAGAAGAAUCAUUUAAAAAUAAAUAAAUCAUAUCAUCUUUCUCUGCCCUCACAUUCCAAUGUUACCUAACAUGUUUAGAAUAAAAUCCAACCCAAAAGAUUCCAGUGGCCUACAAGAUUCAAAUGAUCUGACAUCUGCCUACCUCUCUGAUCUCAUCUCCUUUUGCUCUCCCCACCCCACCCCCACAUACACUUACGGUGCUUCCCUACUGUGCCCCUCGAAAUUGCGGAUCCGUCUGCCUGAAAUGCUCUUGUUCCCAUCAUUUUGCGGCUCACAGCCUCACUUCACUUAGAUUUCUACUCAUAGUCACCUUCUUAGGGAGGUCUUCACAGCACGUUUCUCAGUUUACCUCCCAUUCAUUCCUUAGGCCCUAUCCUCCUUUAUUUUUCUUCAUAGAACUUAUUACUGUCUGACGAUGUAUUAUGCAUUUAUUUGCUUACUUUUCCCCUCCCUCAGUGGAAUUCAAGCUCCAUGAGGGGAAGCAUUUGUUCUUUUCUUUUUAACUCUUUGCACUCUCACAUCCCCAGUGCCUGGACAAUGUCUGGUCUAAAAUACAUGCACAGUACAUCUUUAGUAAAUGAAUGAAUUUAUUAACAUACUUACAUAUUGAGGACUUUCUGAAGAUGACUUAAUUUCAUUCUCAUGAUGACCUGCAGGCUAGAUAUUAUUAUCAUCAUUGUCCCCAUUUUCAGGGUGAGGAAACUGGGCCUGGCAGGCUUAAGCCCUUGCCCCAACCAGGCCUUAAAUGUGGAAAGUAGAAGAGCCCAGAAGAGAACUGAAAGCCUCUUUGACCUGCACACCUGGGCCCUUUCCGUGACUUCUCACCCAAAGCAGGGCCAAAUUCUUUCUCUGCAAGCACAUUAGCAAGCUCACCUUUUAGCACAGGUUAUUUUCUAUGUAUCAUCCAGCAGAGAAUAAGGCUCCUGAGAGCAGCCAAUGCUUCUAGGGUACAAGUGUAGGGAAGAGGUCCAAAGUAAAAGCUCUGCUCAGGUGAAGAGUCACAGAAAGGGCCAGGUGGGGCACAGAACAUGACUAUGUGCCCUGCAAUGGUGUGAUGCUUCAAUAGGACAGGGAAGGACCCCAAAUGGAAGACAGGCAGUGCUAAAGACAGAACAGAGUCUGUCACAGGUUUUUGCCAGAAAAAUUCAGGCUAUGUAAGGGGUAACACUGGGCCACCUCAGACUGGGCCCAGCCUUGGUGGAGGAGAGUUGAAGGUCAUUGUUAUUCAGCAAAUACGGAUUGUGCUUGACAUUGUGCUGUUAAAACACAUGCCCCAAAGUGCCUUGUGCUACUGUCUGCUUUCAGUCACAUCAAGGCAGACUUCUGCAACCCCUUCCUCUCGGAGCCUCAGAGUAUUUCACAGGUCUCUCAAAACUCCACAUCAUAUUCUAUUAUGAUUCCCACUUCCCAGCUGGGUUGAAUUUGUUACAGCAGCUAAAAUGACUAUUGUUCUAGCUGGUCCCACACAUGCUUCCAGGGUCUGUCUGAUCUCUUUCCCCUUUAUAGCCACAGUUGUUGACUCAUCCUCACUUUCUACAUACCUCCUGGCAUUCCUUCCUCAGGCCACUGUGAUCUGUCAGCAAUAUGAUGGCCACCAUAUUGCCAUAUCCAGUGGGCACAUUUCUGGCCUCUCUUCCUCAACCUUUUUUGGUUAUAUGAAACACUUCCAUCAUUCUCUGUGUGUCUGUGACAGCACUCUUCCAGAUCUUUCUGUUGCUUCUUGACUAGCUUUCUCUUAGUCUCCUUUCUUGGUGUCUACUCUAGUCCUUUCCUCAUUUCCAAAGGGUUGGGGCUUCCCUGUGCUUCCAUUCUAUACCCUCUACUCUUCUCUUUCUACAAACACCUCCCAGAUGACUCCUUUCAACCCAUAGCUUCCACUGCAAUUAUACUAGGGUUCUCCAAUAUUUUUCUUCAUGGUUUCAUUUUUUAAAUUGAGCAUAGACCCCUCUGUGUGUAUGGAUGUUUAUUUACAAGGUGACAUACAUGUAUUACUGUACUUAUUUACUCAUUAUAUUAUAAAACCUGUAUAUUAUAGAAAUGUGAAAAAUUAGAUAAAAAUAAAUCUAGAUAGAAGUUCCAAU